GUGCUUGGGCGAGAGUAGUACUGGGAUGGGUGACCUCCUGGGAAGUCCUCGUGUUGCACCCCCCGAAAUCUCC
rnacentral:rRNA from 1 species